GUCUUUAGCCAUACCACCCUGAACGUGCCUGAUCUCGUCUGAUCUCGGAAGCUAAGCAGGGUUGGGCCCAGUUAAUACUUAGUACUUGGAUGGGAGGCGGAGUCCUGAUGGUU
rnacentral:rRNA from 1 species